UCAGUAGGUGACCUGCGGAGGAUCAUUGUCGAAACCUGCAAAAGCAGACCGCGAACUUGUCAAACCACUCGGGAUCGAGGCGCGAGGGAAACCUCGUGUCGAGUUCCCCUCCCGUGUGCUUGCGUUUGAUUUCAUUCGCUCGUACCACGGGCUAACGAACCCCGGCGCGGCAUGCGCCAAGGAAUACUCAAAGAAGCGUCCUCCUUCAUCAACCCGUACUCGGUGUGCGAUGGGGGCAGGCACGUCUCUGUAAAGUCUAAACGACUCUCGGCAACGGAUAUCUCGGCUCUCGCAUCGAUGAAGAACGUAGCGAAAUGCGAUACUUGGUGUGAAUUGCAGAAUCCCGUGAACCAUCGAGUCUUUGAACGCAAGUUGCGCCCGAAGCCAUUCGGUUGAAGGCACGUCUGCCUGGGCGUCACGCAUCGCGUCGCACCCAAUCCAAUCGCCCCUUUUUGGGAUGAUUGAGAUUCGGGGCGGAUAUUGGUCCCCCGUGUGCACAAGUGCGCGGUCGGCCUAAAUGCGAACCUGCGGCGACUCGCGUCACGACCGGUGGUGGUUGAUAACUCAACUUUCGUUUUGUCGUGCCGAAUGUAGUCGCAUGUCGGGCGUCAUUGUUAACCCAAUGGCUCGAUCAACUCGAGCUUUCGACCGCGACCCCAG
rnacentral:rRNA from 1 species